ensembl:lncRNA
CAGCUGGGGAGAGCGGAGUGCGGAGACCGCACGGAGGGCGGCGGCAGGUGACACGAUUAUCCAGAGGUGACGCUCAUUACAAGAAGUCCCCAAAGAACAGAGCAUACAGACAAUGACAGAAGUGCACGCUGGUUGGUGUCGUUUCAGACGCGAAUGAGACAAAAUUGAAAUCACACGCAUUCUUCUGUAUCACUUGCCCUGACUGUGUGCUUAGUCAUAUCUGAUGCUUCACGAGACUUUGGACUGUAGCCCACCAGGCUCCUCUGUCCAUGGGAUUUUUCAGUCUUCUCCUUCAGGUGACAGCAAGUGUAACAUAUGUUUGAGGAACCAUCCUUUUUCCAAACUCUGUGCAGCUGCUCUCCACAACUGGGCUGCUGGCUGGUCUCCAGGGGUGAGUAGCGAUCUUCGAUUGGCGAAUCAGUGGGUUCUAAUCUCAUAGCGGCAACAACUAACUCAGCGCUGGGCACAUGGCUCCAGUUAGGCCGGUGAGACACACUCUUGGAACUCUUGCGGGGUGCGCGUGUGCGUGAGUGUGUGCGCACGUGUCCU